rnacentral:lncRNA from 1 species
UGGGACUACAGGAUUCUGACCAAUUUGAUGGAGUCUCCCUUUAUUGCCCAGGCUGGACUGCAGUGGCGUGAUCUCGGCUCACUGCAAGCUCCGCCUCCCGGAUUCAAGCGAUUCUUCUGCCUCAGCCUGCGAUUCUUCUGCCUCAGCCUCCCGAGUAGCUGGGACUACAGGCACGUGCUACCACACCUGGCUAAGUUUUUGUAUUUUUAGUAGAGAUGGGGUUUCACCAGAUUAGCCAGGAUGGUCUCCAGCUCCUGACCUCGUGAACCGCCCGCCUUCGUCUUACAAAGUGCUGGGAUUACAGGCAUGAGCUUCCGCGCCCGGCCCCGAAACUUUCUUUCAACAAGAGUUAGAGGAGUACAGAGAAGAGAAUAAAUUGGUGCGACAAGAUAAUGAACCUCCAUUCCUCUGAGAGAAGAGUAUUUUGAAUAUUCGACUUUGCCCAUGAAUUUCCCUUUCCAGGUCUUGCUCUGUUGCCCAGGUUGGAGUAAAAUGGUACAAUCACAGUUCACUGCAGCCUCGACCUCUCCAGUUCAAGUGAUCCUCCUGACUCUGCCUUCUGAGUGGCUGAGACUAUAGGCAUGCAUCAUUAUGCCUGGCUUUUUAAAAAACUUUUUGUAAAGAUGGGGUCUCCCUAUGUUGCCCAGGCUGAUCUUGAACACCUGGGCUCAAGGGAUCCUCCUGCCUUGGCAUCCCAAAGUAUUGAGAUUACAGGCAUGAGCCACCAUGCCUGGUCCUAACAUCAUUUUUUGGAUACUGCGCUUACUUCCUAAGAUCAAGAACAAGGGGGAAAAAAACCAUCUUUUCGAAGAUUAAAGAAUUUUUCUGUGGCACCGCAGAGCUGAGGAGCGAUUGGACACUGAAUGAGGGGUAUAGUGAAUCUGGCUCCGAGAGAAGCCCUCUAAAUGGAAUAGCAGGUAGCUGUAUGGUGAGCAUUCCUCUCCCAGCAAUCUGUUGUUCUUUGUGAGCAGACUGGAGUGUGACAGCUGUGAAAACGAUCAAAGGCAGGUCCCAGACAGGAGAGGGCUGAUGACAAUGCCAGUUUCCCUCUAAGACCCUGUGGACAGCAGGGCCAUGAGGGAUGCUGUGACACAGAGUCUUGCUUGAUGCAGUGUGUGGUGUUACUCACAGGAGUGGGUUCAGCCACUCUUGGUGUGAAACCCAAGGAAAAUGUCUCUGCCGCAGCUGAUGUCAACAUGUACAGCAUGUGACCAGCUUGCAUUAAAGGAGAUGUGUGUAUGAGUUCUGCAGAAGUCCACCAAAUGUGGGCCAGGGUUAUUUCCCUGGUGAUGCUCUGAAGCUUUUGCCAAAGGACAAAUGGAAACAGGAAGUACAAUCAUGCACUGGGGUAAAGAAGAUUCAUCUGCUCUUAGCUACCUACCAUGCCAACACUCCUGAGAAAGCUCACAGAGGCCCAUGAUGCCCACCUGGAUCUGAGGACCUAGAAAGCCACAACAGGCAACCAUAAUCUGGGUCUUCCCUCAGCCAACUCCCCUGCAUAAAGUGAAUGAAUGAAAAACCCAUCUUAUAUUAAUCAGAGUUCUCUAGAGAAAAAGAACCAAUCAGAUGUGUAUAUAUAGAAAGAGAGAAUUAUUUUAGGGAAUUAGCUCACAUCAUUAUGCAGGCUGGUCAAUCAAAAAUCUGUGGAGUGGGCUAGCAGGCUGGAGACCCAGGGAAAGGCUAAAUUGCAGUUUAGAUCAGAAGGUCAUCUACUGGCAGAAUUCCCUCAUCUUCCAGGAAGGUGGAUCUUUUUCUACCAAGGCCUUCAGUUUAUUAGAUUAGGCCCAUGAACAUGCUGGAGGGUAAUCUGCUUUACUCAAUACAUACUGAUUUGAAUGUUAGUAUCAUCAAAAAGACCUUCACAGAAACAUCUAAAAUAAUGUUUGACCAAAUGUCUGCAUACCAUGGCCAAGCCAAGUUUACACAUAAAAUUAAUUAUCACACAUCCCACGAACACCAUCCCCAACAGAUGCUCAUGAGCAUUGUGGUUAUGAUUUCAACUUCAGAAUAAGGCAGAAAUGUGUACAAAUCCUGACCCUUUGACUUAUCAGCUCUCUAAAAAUCAUUAUAUGUCAACUUUCUAGACUUUACCUGAAAAACAGAAACCAAGAUACCCACAGCAUAAGAUUGUUAGGAUUGAAGAAAUUGUUACGAUUGUUAGGUAUGAAGAAAUUUAAACAAUGAUGCAGCUGAGAUAUUUAGAAUUGUACCUGGCAUGUACUUUGUAUUAAAUAACUAAUAAGGCCUUUUUCUGGUGAAAACAAAAUAAGCCUGGAUAAAAGAAGAUGAGACCAGAUUGGUUGAUGGCUCGGCCUGGGUGGGCUCCUGGCCCAUCUGAAAUUACAUUACUCUUAUGUAGUGCCUUUUUUGUUAUUGCUAAAAUAAAAUAAAUAAAACACUCUACUUUCAUACUUUGUAAAAUGCACUUCUCAUUCAGUUCCUCUUCCUGUGCCUUUUCCCUAUUGUCUAUCUGCACACAGCUGUUUUCUUCUGCACAUUUUCAUCACAGAGAAUUACCAGGUGUAGGUCAAAAGAUGCCACAGAGAUAACAAAGGAAAGGAAAAGCUUUUCUGCACUUCUAUCCUUGUAAGCACAAAAAUUAAUCACACUUUCAGUAAACAGGUCAGGUAAGUCAGUCCUGCACUUGAACCUUUUCUCCCCAAAUAAAUAGUUGAAAUGGGAAUGUCGAUUUCUGUAUUUGAACAGAAAUGUAUUAGUGUAGCUUUCAAAAGAAGACUACUCUCUCCAUAUGAAUAUCAUCAGACCCACAAAUACACAUAUGCAUACAUUCACAGUUCAUCCUAACGCUGCAGAAUAUUCUAAGAGUAACACAUUUCUGUACAAAUCAAGCAGCAGCUUUCACUUGCAUGCUAAUCUUCAAAUUAAUUCUGCAAUGAUCCAUUCAUUCCACAUCCCAACCUACAUCCUCAGAAAAACAAAGAUGUAAGUAAGGAACUCAGUAUAACAUGUUUGACUUUAGACACUACUCAAAUAUACUCAAACUUUAUAUGAAUAUGGAUAUUGCUCCUAGAUUAGGCAGUUCAGAAAACAAAUCUUGAUUAUUCUUAGUUACAAUGUAGUAUAAAAUAACAACAAUUUCAUGUCAACAACAGAAUCUCCUAAAAGAUCUUAUAAAGAUAAAAAGUCUUAGGUGUUAGUCGUCAAAGACUAAGUUGUAAAUGUAUCAUUGUAUUUGUGUAGUUAAUAAAACCCUAGACAAGAUAUGGGUUCCAGUUCUUGAACCACCACCACCUGUUCACCUUAAAUAAGUCAACUAAC